UUUAUUUGGAGAGUUUGAUCCUGGCUCAGGACGAACGCUGGCGGCGUGCCUAAUACAUGCAAGUCGAGCGGACCAAUGAAGAG
rnacentral:rRNA from 1 species